CACGUAGGCACCAAGCGUUGUCCGGAUUUAUUGGGCGUAAAGAGCUCGUAGGCGGUUCGGUAAGUCGGGUGUGAAAACUUUGGGCUUAACCCAAAGCGUGCAUCUGAUACUGCUGUGACUAGAGUUCGGUAGGGGAGUGGGGAAUUCCUAGUGUAGCGGUGAAAUGCGCAGAUAUUAGGAGGAACACCGGUGGCGAAGGCGGCUUCCUGGACCGACACUGACGCUGAGGUGCGAAAGCGUGGGGAGCAAACAGG
rnacentral:rRNA from 1 species